rnacentral:rRNA from 1 species
UACGAAGGGGGCUAGCGUUGCUCGGAAUCACUGGGCGUAAGGCGCACGUAGGCGGCUUGUUAAGUCAGGGGUGAAAUCCUGGAGCUCAACUCCAGAACUGCCUUUGAUACUGGCAAGCUUCGAGUUCGGGAGAGGUGAGUGGAACUGCGAGUGUAGAGGUGAAAUUCGUAGAUAUUCGCAAGAACACCGGUGGCGAAGGCGGCUCUCUGGACCGAUACUGACGCUGAGGCGCGAAAGCGUGGGGAGCAAACAGG